UGGGGAAUAUUGCACAAUGGGCGCAAGCCUGAUGCAGCCAUGCCGCGUGUAUGAAGAAGGCCUUCGGGUUGUAAAGUACUUUCAGCGGGGAGGAAGGGAGUAAAGUUAAUACCUUUGCUCAUUGACGUUACCCGCAGAAGAAGCACCGGCUAACUCCGUGCCAGCAGCCGCGGUAAUACGGAGGGUGCAAGCGUUAAUCGGAAUUACUGGGCGUAAAGCGCACGCAGGCGGUUUGUUAAGUCAGAUGUGAAAUCCUCGGGCUCAACCUGGGAACUGCAUCUGAUACUGGCAAGCUUGAGUCUCGUAGAGGGGGGUAGAAUUCCAGGUGUAGCGGCGAAAUGCGUAGAGAUCUGGAGGAAUACCGGUGGCGAAGGCGGCCCCCUGGACGAAGACUGACGCUCAGGUGCGAAAGCGUGGGGAGCAAACAGG
rnacentral:rRNA from 1 species